rnacentral:rRNA from 1 species
GUGCCAGCCGCCGCGGUACUACCGGCAGCUCAAGUGAUGUCCCAUAUUAUUGGGCCUAAAGCGUCCGUAGCUGGCCGACCAAGUCUCCCGGGAAAUCCACCCGCUCAACGGGUGGACGGCCGGUGGAAACUGCCCGGCUCGGGAUCGGAAGACCCAACGGGUACGUCCAGGGUAGGAGUGAAAUCCCGUAAUCCUGGACGGACCGCCGAUGGCGAAAGCACGUUGGGAAGACGAAUCCGACAGUGAGGGACGAAAGCUAGGGUCUCGAACCGGAUUAGAAACCCGAGUAGUCC